GGUUUAAAUCCAAGGUGAAACAUUCUGCUUUCUCACAACUCCUGCUUUUCUCAGAGCGAGCUGGGUGUGAGUGGCUAGGAUCAAAUCUGGCUCAAAAUUUUUUCAGUGCAUAGGACAGGACCAUAGGAUGGGAAUGCAGAAGAGCAAAGCAUGACCAAAACAGAGACUGGGGUUUAAUCAAAGUGCUUUCUAACUCCAUAGUAUGGCCAUAUGUUUCAUGGUCUUGGCAUAGUAAAUACUGAGGGAAAAUCAUGUCAUCAACUCCAGUCUUCUCUCAGGUGUAGCAAAGCUCAUAAAUCAGCCCAGAGUUUCAAGUGAAACGAGCUCUGUGUCUUCGAUGGCUAAUGAUGAAAAGGAAAGUAAAGACUUCACUUGGCCCAGGCAUCCCCCAGCCAGCAUGACUUGACAAUUUCCUAUAAAAGGGAGACAAGUCCACUGUUUUAGAAGGUUACUUGCUUGACUGAUGAGGAAAUAUGGUGGACAGUGUAUCUCUGGGUUUUAGCAAGACGUUUAAGAAGAUCUCUGAACAGUGUGAUAGCAGAAUGAGGCGGAUUCGUAGCCACUCAUAGAAAUCCUGCUGCUUAGUGUCAACCUGGACGGAGGUCUGUGACGGGAUGCCUCAGGCCACAUUUAUGUCCUAUGGAGCACUGACUUGAAUAAAAAUGGUAAAGACAUGCUUGUCAAAUCUGUCAGUGGCAUGAAAAUGGGAGGCAGAGCAAAAUGUGGGAUGGCAGAGUUAAAACACUCACGGAAAGCUCUUGACAUUGGGAUGAUGAUGGCUAAGUUAACUCUAACAGGCUGGCGUACUAAAGGGAUAAAUGUAAGGUCCAGUAAAUCAGCGGGAUAAAGCAAAGGAUUGGGAGAUGUGGCUUAACAACCAUAUUCAUGGAGAAGACUCAAGGAUUUUAGUUGACAGGCAAGUGGAUUUAUCGUAAAGCUAAAGCAGCUUAAACUUCAAGGCUCCUCGCUGGCAUGGUCCCCUCCCAAAGCCCUGUACUUAACUGUGUACUGAUAAUUUUGUUUUCUUUUUCUUAAAGUGAGCCCCUAGUUUAUGUAAAUUACAGCUCUCUUUAAAGCCUGCAUCCCCUCCCCAGUGACAUUUAAAUUAUGGAUGUUGAUGGUCAAAAGUUACUUUCAGACUUACUUAAUAGAAGAUUGUAUUGAAAACUA